GAACGGAACAACAAGCUGAACAAAACUCGCCAUGUUUCUAGAACAGUGUCUUAGCAUGUGCUUGACAUGCACAACAUGAAAUCCAUGUGCUAUAAUGUGCUGUAUAUAGCUGUCAACCAGCA